rnacentral:rRNA from 1 species
UACGUAGGGUGCGAGCGUUAAUCGGAAUUACUGGGCGUAAAGCGUGCGCAGGCGGUGAUGUAAGACAGGUGUGAAAUCCCCGGGCUCAACCCGGGAACUGCGUCCGAUACUGGUGGGCUUGAAUCCGGGAGAGGGAUGUGGAAUUCCAGGUGUAGCGGUGAAAUGCGUAGAUAUCUGGAGGAACACCGGUGGCGAAGGCGGCAUCCUGGACCGGUAUUGACGCUGAGGCGCGAAAGCUAGGGGAGCAAACGGG